AAAAUUUAAAAUUAAAAUACUAAAAUAGUAAAUAAAUGUUUGUUGAAACUUAAAUAAUUUGGCGGUAUUUUAGUUCAUUUAGAGGAAUCUGUUUAAUAAUUGAUAUUCCACGAAUAAAUUUACUUAUUUUAUAAUUUUGUAUAUCGUUGUUAAAAAAAUAUUUUUUAAUAAAAUUAAUAUUUUAAAAUUAUUAUAAAAAUUUAAAUCAGAUCAAGAUGCAGAUUAUAAUUAAGAAUAUAAUGGAUUACAAUAAAUUUAUUUAAAUGAAUAUUAAUUUGUAAAAAUUAAUUGAAAGUGGAUUUAAAUGUAAUUUUAUUUAAUUUAAUAAAAUGAUUAAAAAUUAAAAUAUGU
rnacentral:rRNA from 2 species